AAAUCUGUUAAGUCAACCUGGAUAAACGUCAGAAGGAUUUGACGGUGUGACUCGUGAGUCUGGAACGGUGAGGUUAAAAUCGUCAGAAGGACUUGACGAUAUUAAUCGAGCAUCGACUCCUUGACCGUCUUGGGGGGCAGAUGAGUGGACAAGUACAACCCAAUCAAUCAUCUACUUCACAACAGCAGCCAAUACCUACAUAGAGGACAGGAUCUACAUUGGCAACUGCGCGGGUUUUUCUAUGCGUCGGGUGUGGAAGAGCGUGCGGUGACGGAGUCGAUAGAUGCUAAUAUUGGUUGAAAGGAUUGAUGUGGUGGCUGAGGUAAAAGAGAAUCGUGAAGAUUGUGAUGGUGAUGGCUGUGCUGUCAGCUUGACUCACUCGAGGUGGGGACUGGACCUUUCGCAAACCCAGAAUUCUGGUUUGUCUUAAAUUGUCCAAAAACGAUAUCGCAAAGACUCAUGACUUGUUUGGCUGGAAUAGAACUGAUUCUAUGGACUCCCAAGGACAUUGGUAACAUCAAUACGUAAAGGUUGCCAAGAACAAAAGUAUACCGACCUUGAAGGAUGUUUUUAGCCCUACAAUGAAUGGUAAAAACAAGCUGUUGAAAUGUCUCACUGCUGACUUGGCGACAUGACUAAAAAGGUCUAAGUUUGGGAACAAAGAAGACAAGUCUAACCGAUCUUAAGAAGGGAUAUUCUACAAUCAACAUUGAUCGAACCACUUUUAUCAAGUCGAUUCCUAAUCACAGCCAUUGUAUCAAUCUGAUUAAUUAAUUGCACUGAACUUUAUUACUCAUGUCAUAUGCUUUUGUGCUUGCCAAAGCCAUCAUUUUAUUACGAAUGAAUGUGUCUUUAUCUUAUUUUUUUUGCUUUAUUGGUCGCGGUGUAUUUGUGAGACCUCAUUUAUUAUCAUUAUUUUGGUCUUAAGGUGGGGACUGUUAGAUUAUAGACGUUGUAAUCUAAUAAUAAUGAACAUUAAACAAAUGUAGAAUGGAGAAAGUACUGA